AGCGAACGCUGGCGGCAUGCUUAACACAUGCAAGUCGCACGGGGUGCUUUCGGGCACUUAGUGGCGGACGGGUGAGUAUCGCGUAGGGAUUUGUCGUUGGGUGGGGAUAACCUUGGGAAACUGGGGCUAAUACCGCAUGACGCCUUUGGGCCAAAGCUCGUGAGGGUGCCUGAUGAGGAGCCUGCGUCCGAUUAGGUAGUUGGUUGGGUUAUGGCUGGACCAAGCCUGCGAUCGGUAGCUGGUCUGAGAGGAUGAUCAGCCACACUGGGACUGAGACACGGCCCAGA
rnacentral:rRNA from 1 species